UUGAACGCUGGCGGCAGGCCUAACACAUGCAAGUCGAGCGGAUGAAGGGAGCUUGCUCCUGGAUUCAGCGGCGGACGGGUGAGUAAUGCCUAGGAAUCUGCCUGGUAGUGGGGGAUAACGUCCGGAAACGGGCGCUAAUACCGCAUACGUCCUGAGGGAGAAAGUGGGGGAUCUUCGGACCUCACGCUAUCAGAUGAGCCUAGGUCGGAUUAGCUAGUUGGUGGGGUAAAGGCCUACCAAGGCGACGAUCCGUAACUGGUCUGAGAGGAUGAUCAGUCACACUGGAACUGAGACACGGUCCAGACUCCUACGGGAGGCAGCAGUGGGGAAUAUUGGACAAUGGGCGAAAGCCUGGUCCAGCCAUGCCGCGUGUGUGAAGAAGGUCUUCGGAUUGUAAAGCACUUUAAGUUGGGAGGAAGGGCAGUAAGUUAAUACCUUGCUGUUUUGACGUUACCAACAGAAUAAGCACCGGCUAACUUCGUG
rnacentral:rRNA from 1 species